CGGGGUAUAGCGCAGUCUGGUAGCGCACUUGCAUGGGGUGCAAGGGGUCGCAGGUUCAAAUCCUGUUACCCCGACCA
rnacentral:tRNA from 2 species